GGGAACUCAGUUUUUGAGCUAUAAGAUCCACAAGAAAGUAAAUGAUGAUAAACAUCACCUGAUGUUUGAAUUACUAUGCCAUGUCCAUAUUAAUCUAAUAUAAUAUAAAUAUCUAGAAGAGGCCCAUCCAGGCACAUCAAGCUUCACUUACCAAAUGCUGAAAGGAAGAAGCAGAGGAGUAACAGUAGCACGAAAGAAUGAAGAAAUAAAAAAAUUAUGACAAAGGCAGACUCCUUAAUUGCAGCUCUUGGUCGAACUUAGUUUGUGGUAUACUGGUAUUCAUUUUCUAUCUUUGGAAGAUCUUCUGUAUUUGUGUACCCUUUCUUCCCAUAUGAUGUCCAUUUGGUAACCCUUGGCUAGAAGUAUAUUAAGUCAAUUCCUUUUACAUCAUGACAUUUAAUUUCAUUCUCUCAUACUAUACAUGAAAAAGAAAUCCCAGAGAGAAAAGACCACUGAAGAAACAGAAGAUUAUUGGUUAUUGCAGUCCCGAUUUUAUGGUGAUUCCACAUCUAGAAACACGACCAUAUGCCCUGACAUCUCCAAUCUCUGAUAUCCUGCAUGCUGUUCCCAAGUGGACUGGAAAAUGAACUUCUAUAGAGAUGUGAACACUUAGUGGUACCCGUGGCUAGGAAUAUACAGCUGUAGAGCCAUGCAAGAAUUCACAUUGAACCAGACAUGAAAUAUAGGAGCAAGCCAGUCCACCAGGAUGAAUGGAAGGCAAUAUUGCUGAACAGAGAAGUCAUAAUUUCUGUCCUAAAGUAGCAGUCCUAUUACAUGCACAACUGACUUGCAGAUAGCCUAAUAUGAAUUAGUUAGAUUGAAGCCAUUUUAGGAAGAUUUCAUGUCAUUUUAACUGUUUCAAACAUUUAUCAAGUCUAUGAUGAAGCCAAGCCAAUGAAACUAAUCAAUUUU